rnacentral:rRNA from 1 species
UACGGGGGGGGCAAGCGUGGUUCGGAAUUACUGGGCGGAAAGGGCUCGUAGGCGGCCGACUAAGUCAUACGUGAAAUCCCUCGGCUUAACCGGGGAACUGCGUCUGAUACUGGAUGGCUUGAGUUCGGGAGAGGGAUGCGGAAUUCCAGGUGUAGCGGUGAAAUGCGUAGAUAUCUGGAGGAACACCGGUGGCGAAGGCGGCAUCCUGGACCGAUACUGACGCUGAGGAGCGAAAGCCAGGGGAGCAAACGGG